UUUUCCCAAAUCAAUUUUGAUUUGAAAUUGAAACCCUAGGUUUUUUUGUUCAUUGGACGGCCCGUGACCAUAAAGCCCAAACCCGAUAAUGACCAUUUUUUAAAUGGUUUCCCAAAUUAUGCCCAAUCAAAACCCAUGGAAAAAAUGGGAUUAUCCAUAUUAGGCCCAUUUUAUAUAUGGACACGGGCUACCAUUGGUCGGCCCA
rnacentral:lncRNA from 1 species